GAAACUGGGGCGCUGCCAAGACUCUCUCACUUGGGUUUGGUUUAAGAAUAUGAGAAAGCUGCCUGAUGGAUUGGGGCAACUUCCAUCUCUCCAGGAACUAGUUCUGAAGAGGACAUCACUUGCAAAGAUCUACAAGGGAAAGGAUGCAAGCCGCAUCUUGAGGAGUAGGGGCAGCCAGCGACAACAGUAGCAGUGGAGAGAGUUGGGGAAGAUGAGCUGCUGUUGCUGGCCGAGGCCAAGCAGAGCACCACCGCGGAUGUCCGCCGCGCGGCUGGGGCUUCCGGGACCAUGGGUUACCCUGAGGGCGGCGGGCGCCGGGACGACGAGCCCGUCCACAAGGAGCUGCACGGUGUUCCGCGGCGAGGAGACCCACGUCGAGCGCGUGCCCGAGGUCAACGGCGAGGCCGACGUCGAGUAGGACCUCGGAGAUGCGGACGGUGAUGCCGUGGACUACCUCCACGGCGAUGAGGACUACGUCGGCCGCGAGAUCCACUGGCCACUGCCCGCAGCUUGCCACGCCUGCCAGUCGACGACGUCCUCGAGAAAGGAAGAGGGGAAGAAAGAGAGGGGGAAGAGAGUAUGACAGGUUGGGCCCACGUCAGGGGUAUUUUGGUCCGGAAAAAAUAUAAAAGUGAGAAAAACAUUUCUAUUUACAAAAAUAACCGAAAAUGGUAUUUUGGUGAACACCUUCAGUUUAGGAUGGUAUUCCAGUGAAUCACUUUGAAGCGAUAGCAUUCCAGCGAAACCAUUCUUUUACGAUAGUAUAAUCCCAAUUUUCUCCUCGCAAAGGAGGUUUGGUUGUUGGAAAUCACAUAUCAAUGUCAGCAACACAAUAAAAUAAA